rnacentral:tRNA from 1 species
AAAAAAUUAGUUAAAUGUAUAACAUUAGUAUGUCAAACUAAAAUUAUUAAAUUUUUAAUAUUUUUUA